GGAUUUUUGCGCUCCCUGUCCUGCUUGUCCUGUUGGCCUCAAAAACAAGUAGGAGGAAGAGCAGCACUUCCCGGUGACAAUGGCCACUCGGAUCAGCACGGAAUCCGAAGUCCUGAAUCGCGACCCUAAAGGUCCAUCUUAACCAGCUGCGAUGACCGGUAUGACCCAGCGAUUAAUUACCUGAACUCGGCGGCUGACAGGUGCCUACUGUCAUUCCUUGCUGACAGUCCUGUACAAUGAAGCUUUGGUAGGGGGACUGAAUCUCUGUUUUUAGUAAGUUUAGAGGAAAUGUGUGUGUGUGUGUGUGUGUGUGUGUGUGUGUGUGUGUGUGUGUGUGUGUGUGUGUGUGUGUGUACACUAAAUAGAUAUAUUCUCUGUAUGUAACUGUGUGUGUGUCAUUGACUGUAUAGAGGACAUGGCUUUCAGGCAUUUUGGUAGAAUAAUGGAUUUAUUUUGUUUAGGGUAUCAAAAGUUGUUAUUUGUUUUGGGAACCAAUCUUGUCCCAUGCCAGUUUCAUAGCACUCAAGCCUUUUAUCAAACUCUAGAUUCUAAAGGAAUUCCUGGCUCUGUAUUUAUUUGAAAAAAAGAACGGACAUUUCAAUCGUUAAACAAAUUUUAAUAGAAUAAAAAUGGGGAUUGAAAGUGUAUUAACCUUUUGACUACAAGUACCAAAUGAAAGAGGAUGUUGUUGGCUACUUAUCCAAGGGGAGGAGAAAUCCUCUUCAACCAUCGACCCCUCCAGGCUAGUACUCAGGCUUAACUCAUUGCCUCCUGGAGAAAAUGGGAUUGUGUUGGCCUCCUCUCCGGGUAGUCUAUAUGGCAGAAUAAGUUUUACAGACGCAAACACUGAGUAACACAUACCAUGUCGCACCAAUAAUGGGAUGUGAUUUUUAUAUAUCACUUGUAUGCAAAAUAUAUUUUAAUGUUUUUGCUUAUUCAGAUAUGAAUGAUAUCCAUUUUACUUGCUAGAUUGAACCUGUAGUCUAAUUAUGUACAUUAGAGUCCAUUUCAAUAAAUAAGGUAUGUUGCAGUCUGUGUUCAAGAUUAAGUAUGGUUUUAUUGAAGGAUAAAAAAAUUAAAAGUCUUUCCUUUUUGCAAAUCUUAUUGUUACCAAGAUGAGAUUGUAUAUAGUAAUAUACAGGGCUAAUGCCCCCAUGGCUUCAGUACUUGCCUUAUUUGUGUCAUACUACAAGCCAGUCCCACUGGCAGAGCACCAAGAGACAAUGUGAGUAGUCAACAAGAGGUGACAGACUUCAUAAACUAGAGUGAAGGUUACAGGUUCACAUCAGCAGCAAGAGAGCAUCAUGUUUUGGUAUGCAGCAUCUUCCACACAUUGCAGGUGGAUGAUUUAUGUCCUAAAAUUUGCUCUUUAUACAAAACAAUAGCCAGUCAUAGCAUUACACAUUCCACUCUCCAUCAGGCAAUGCCCCAGGGCAAGUGAUGUGGGCAUGAGGGUAUCUUAUAAAGAACAGCAUAAAAUGUAAUGCACAGAUCAUCUUUACAUGCAGUGAAUGACCUGCCUCAAGUCGACCAUGACACGAAUGACACGUCUCCGAGUGCCGCAGCCAAGUCAGCCGUGACGUGAAUCCCACAUGCAAAGGCUUUGAGUUAAGGGAGGAGGUUGCCAAGGAAACCGGCGACACCCUGGACCAAUCUGGCGUCAACUGGACUGACAAAAUUGUCUUUUUCUUUUCUUUUUCUGUCUCGUCUCUUCACUCUUGAUCUGUUCUUUUCUCCUCUGUUUCUUUUUUGUUCAGCUCAGAGUAUUUCGUCUUUUUCAUCUUCUUUGUUUUCUUGAUUGUUUUUGUAUUUGUUAGUUGUAACAAAAAAGUAUUGGAUUUUUUUUUGUUGUUGUGGCUGGGAAUUAUUACUAUGUUAAAAAAAGGGAGAGACAGGUUGUUAAUUUUUUUCUGAUUUAUCUUUCUUUUCUCCAAAAAUAUUUAAGUUUUUUUUUUUUUUUUCUCUCUUCCAGGGGAGGACACAGCAACAUGAUCCAAAUAUUGAAAUGCAUCGAUGAAGAUUUUCAAUUCCUUGUUAUUAGUUAUAGUU